rnacentral:rRNA from 1 species
GACGAACGCUGGCGGCGUGCCUAACACAUGCAAGUCGAACGGGGCUUAGUGAGCUUGCUUGCUAAGCUUAGUGGCGGACGGGUGAGUAACGCGUGAGCAACCUGCCUUUCAGAGGGGGACAACAGUUGGAAACGACUGCUAAUACCGCAUAACAUUAUUGAGUCGCAUGGCUUAAUAAUCAAAGGAGCAAUCCGCUGAAAGAUGGGCUCGCGUCCGAUUAGAUAGUUGGCGGGGUAACGGCCCACCAAGUCGACGAUCGGUAGCCGGGCUGAGAGGUUGAACGGCCACAUUGGGGACUGAGACACGGCCCAGACUCCUACGGGAGGCAGCAGUGGGGGAUAUUGCACAAUGGGGGAAACCCUGAUGCAGCAACGCCGCGUGAGGGAAGAAGGUUUUCGGAUUGGUAAACCUCUGUCUUUGGUGAAG